UGGGGAAUAUUGCACAAUGGGCGAAAGCCUGAUGCAGCGACGCCGCGUGAGGGAUGACGGCCUUCGGGUUGUAAACCUCUUUCAGUAGGGACGAAGCGCAAGUGACGGUACCUGCAGAAGAAGCACCGGCUAACUACGUGCCAGCAGCCGCGGUAAUACGUAGGGUGCGAUCGUUGUCCGGAAUUACUGGGCGUAAAGAGCUCGUAGGCGGUUUGUCACGUCGUCUGUGAAAUCCUAGGGCUUAACCCUGGACGUGCAGGCGAUACGGGCUGACUUGAGUACUACAGGGGAGACUGGAAUUUCUGGUGUAGCGGUGGAAUGCACAGAUAUCAGGAAGAACACCGAUGGCGAAGGCAGGUCUCUGGGUAGUAACUGACGCUGAGGAGCGAAAGCAUGGGUAGCGAACAGG
rnacentral:rRNA from 1 species